CGUAUUCUCAAUUCUCUUUAUUAAAUUUUUAUUUGAUUAUAAAAAUAUUUGAAAUUUACUUUAUUUGGGUAAGAAAAUUUAGAUUUUGAUUAAAUUUUCUAGCUUAUUAAUUUACAUUUAUCUGACUAUGAUCCUGUCUAUAAAAAGGAUAUAUUAGGUUCAAUUCUGUAAGCCGAAUAAGUCAAAAAAUUACUUGAAACUAUUCGAAUAGGUGGUUCAACCGGCCGAUUUGUUUUAGUCAAAUCGGCCAGAAUUUCUUAAUUUAAGGCAUAUAAAAAAAUUCAGCAGUAUAAAACUAACUUAGCUAAUUUCUUUUUCUAUCAACAUAAAUUAGUGUUAUAAAAAGCAAAAAAUAUGAAAAUUUAUAUUUAUUUAAUUUGAUCUUAAAAUUAGUAUUUUAUAAUUAGACUAAUGUUACCAUACUCUUAUUAGUAUAGAACUUUUUAUAUUCAUAAAUUUUUGGCUGUCGGAUAAAGGAAUGUGCGGUUAGGAUGAUAGUCUUCUCCUAUAAUUGAGUGGGUAGUUAGUUGAAUAAUAUGAUUUAACUGGUGAAAAUGGUGAAAGAGGUAGAUCUAACGGCCGAAAAUUUAUGAAUAAAAAGUGGUCUAUAUAUUAUAAAAGUAUAAUACCCGGACUCUUAUAAUUAAACAUAAUAUAAAAAUAAUAAUAUAAAUAUUUAUGAUGUCAUACUGAUAUUAUAAAUUUAAUUAGUAAUUUUUUAUCUAGUGAUAAUUUUAGCAGUUUUUUUUUUGAGAGAUAGGUAGCAUGCUAUUCGCUUUGUUUAUUUCAUUUAGAAAUAAACUUAGCUUGAGAUGUGAAUCAACUAGAAUUCGAACUUGGAUCUCGGGUACCAACCAUCAAAUCUUUUCCCACUUGCUUUAUGGACGAUCAGAUAAUUUUAGCAGUUUUAAGUAUGGACGAGAAAUAGUUUCUAGAAAAAAAAAAUU
rnacentral:lncRNA from 1 species